rnacentral:lncRNA from 1 species
AUGUCAAUAACAAUUUUCAUGUGCUAUUUUGUUACCAAAUUUAACAAUAACAAAAUCUUACCCCAUUCAAAUUUGGGGGAACAUAAAUUUUUGUACGGGAAUAUAAAAACGUUGUAAUACUUGUGUUUUUUUUCUUGAAGAAGAUUAUGAUAUUUCAUUCAUUGAUAAAAGAGCUUAUAAACACAUAUUAUGAAGAACUCGCUCUCAAAAGGGUACUUGCAAACUAGAUCUAAAAAUAUUACAAUAAAGCAUCACUAAUUGCAAGGCAAUGAGUAUGCUUCAAGCACUCAUCCAAGCUCAUCAGGAACUGCACGAUUACAAAGAUCAAUAAAACUGGUAAAAUUUGUGUUACAUGGAAAUCAUGUGAGAAAAAAAUCUCAAACCAUAAAUUGGAAUAUUGAGUACGAUGCGGGGU